UACCGGCUGAACUAAGCAUAUCAAUAAGCGGAGGAAAAGAAACCAACAGGGAUUGCCCUAGUAACGGCGAGUGAAGCGGCAACAGCUCAAAUUUGAAAUCUGGCUCUUUCAGAGUCCGAGUUGUAAUUUGCAGAGGGCGCUUUGGCAUUGGCAGCGGUCCAAGUUCUUUGGAACAGGACGUCACAGAGGGUGAGAAUCCCGUACGUGGUCGCUAGUCUUUGCCGUGUAAAGCCCCUUCGACGAGUCGAGUUGUUUGGGAAUGCAGCUCUAAAUGGGAGGUAAAUUUCUUCUAAAGCUAAAUACUGGCCAGAGACCGAUAGCGCACAAGUAGAGUGAUCGAAAGAUGAAAAGCACUUUGGAAAGAGAGUCAAAUAGCACGUGAAAUUGUUGAAAGGGAAGCGCUUGCAGCCAGACUUGCCUGUAGUUGCUUAUCUGGACUUUUGUCCGGUGCACUCUUCUGCGGGCAGGCCAGCAUCAGUUUGGGCGGUUGGAUAAAGGUCUCUGUCAUGUACCUCUCUUCGGGGAGGCCUUAUAGGGGAGACGACAUGCAACCAGCCUGGACUGAGGUCCGCGCAUUUGCUAGGAUGCUGGCGUAAUGGCUGUAAGCGGCCCGUCUUGAAACACGGACCAAGGAGUCUAACAUCUAUGCGAGUGUUUGGGUGUCAAGCCCAGACGCGUAAUGAAAGUGAACGGAGGUGGGAACCCUUUGGGUGCACCAUCGACCGAUCCUGAUGUCUUCGGAUGGAUUUGAGUAAGAGCAUGGCUGUUGGGACCCGAAAGAUGGUGAACUAUGCUUGAAUAGGGUGAAGCCAGAGGAAACUCUGGUGGAGGCUCGCAGCGGUUCUGACGUGCAAAUCGAUCGUCAAAUUUGGGCAUAGGGGCGAAAGACUAAUCGAACUAUCUAGUAGCUGGUUCCUG
rnacentral:rRNA from 1 species